rnacentral:rRNA from 1 species
UACGUAGGGGUGCGAGCGUUAAUCGGAAUUACUGGGCGUAAAGUGUGCGCAGGCGGCUUCGCAAGUCGAGUGUGAAAUCCCCGAGCUUAACUUGGGAAUUUGCGCUCGAAACUACGGAGCUGGAGUGUGGCAGAGGAAGGUGGAAUUCCACGUGUAGCGGUGAAAUGCGUAGAGAUGUGGAGGAACACCGAUGGCGAAGGCAGCCUUCUGGGCCAACACUGACGCUCAUGCACGAAAGCGUGGGGAGCAAACAGG